GUCCCCUCUGGAUAGUUCAGUUGGAUAGAGCAUGGUGUUGAUGAUGCCAAGGCUGCAUGUUCAAUCCCCCGUAGGGGACA